UUUGAGAAAACACAUUUUUGGAAUAACCUUCUGCAACUUUAACAUCAAGUUCCGACAAGACUGCAACACGUUCGCUGCUAGAUUUUUAUAUAAAUAAGGAAAACGUCUUUAAUCUUGGAAACCUGAGAAAUGAAGUCUCUAUUCAUCGUGGGGGUUUUGUUGGCAAGCUGCUCCGUUUUGUUAACCGAAGCCCGCCUUGUGCCUUCAAGCGGCGGCUGUCCACCGGGUUUAGUUUUCGUGGGAGAAUGUUCAUUUCCGUUUGGAGGAUGUGCCGUGGGUAACUGUUACGAACCACACCCAGAAAGCAUAUUCAGUGGUCUAUGUUGUGUAAGACCUGGAUACUACAGGUAUGGGAGAUAGAAAGACGCACGGCAGAUCUUUUAUUACAUGUACAACACGUACUUUGAUGAAUUAAUAAAAAUAAAC